rnacentral:misc_RNA from 1 species
GAUGAAGAACGUAGCGAAAUGCGAUACGUAAUGUGAAUUGCAGAAUUCAGUGAAUCAUCGAGUCUUUGAACGCACAUUGCGCCCCCUGGUAUUCCGGGGGGCAUGCCUGUCCGAGCGUCAUUGCUGCCCUCAAGCCCGGCUUGUGUGUUGGGUCUCGUCCCCCUUCCCGGGGGGACGGGCCCGAAAGGCAGCGGCGGCACCGCGUCCGGUCCUCGAGCGUAUGGGGCUUUGUCACCCGCUCUGUAGGCCCGGCCGGCGCUUGCCGACACAUCAAUCUUUUUUCCAGGUUGACCUCGGAUCAGGUAGGGAUACCCGCUGAACUUAAGCAUAUCAAUAAGCGGAGGA